UACAGAGGUCCCAAGCGUUGUUCGGAUUCAUUGGGCGUAAAGGGUGCGUAGGCGGCGGGGUAAGUUGGAUGUGAAAUCUCGGGGCUCAACCCCGAAACUGCAUUCAAUACUGCCUUGCUUGAGUACUGGAGAGGAGACUGGAAUUCAUGGUGUAGCAGUGAAAUGCGUAGAUAUCAUGAGGAAGGCCAGUGGCGAAGGCGGGUCUCUGGACAGUUACUGACGCUGAGGCACGAAGGCCAGGGGAGCAAACGGG
rnacentral:rRNA from 2 species